GAAAAACAAACUAAAUCACUGUAAUUCACAACCGACUACAGAAGCUAGCGGAAGUGAGACACUUUUUGUACUCUGACUGUAAAAACUGUGUUUGUAUCAAUCACAAACGUCGCUUGCCUAAGCUCACUAUUGAGUAUGAGGUUAGAUAAGCAGUUUAUCUUCGUGUGACUGCAUGAUAAAAGCUUUGAAUUCGUGUUAUAAUGGUUAUUCGUGCAAAUACGUGUUUCAGACAUUGCAACAAUUUACAAAAUACAUAACACAAUAAACGCCAUAGCAGAACAAAGUUUAUAAUAAGGCUAACAACAUAUUCAUUUAAAAACCUGUCAUGAUGCUCGUACAAAAAUUGGAAGUCCUUGAAAGUCCUUGAAAGUCCUUGAAAGUCCUUGAAAGUCCUUGAAAGUCCUUGAAGUCCUUGAAAGUUCUUGAAUUUGUAAAGAUUACUUAUUCAAGAAUUACUUAUUAUAAAGAAUUACUAAAAUUUUCCUCGCUUUAGUUUUUUCUGAAAUUGUUUGACAUUAAAAAACGGACAUUUUGUUGAAAUUGAUUUUUUUCAUGUCUUAUUGUUUGAGAUUCUUUGUUAAAGUUGUUGUUUGAACAAUUUAAUUUUCUUUUUUCACAUUUGAACACAAUUCGAAAAAUUAUUCGUGCCAAAACCGCGCUAGUUGGGAAACGUAAUUUAUUCCUAUCCGGAAUAAAUGUUUUUCGUAUGAAUUAACGGCCCCCAUAAGGCAUAACUUUAUUUCUCCGCUGUUCAAGACAUAACAUAAAGAUAAUACAAUAAUAAAACGGAUGCUUUCUGGUCAAACAGCUGAAAUUUCGAAGCCGAAAGCUUGUUUGGAUGCUUUCUGGUCAAACAGCUGAAAUUUCAAAGCCGAAAGCUUGUUUUUAAUUAACAAUGUCAAUCUUUGAUAAAAUACAGCACUUGUUAGCAGCAAAUGUAUAAUUGAUUUCAAGUGCUCUUUUGCAAACAUGAAAAGGUCUUUUGUUUGUUCAGUCAUAAUUCAUGCUCAUAUCGUUGAAUAAAGAAUUCUACUUUCUCCAAUUUCUCAAUAUGUGAUAUAUGUGAAUUCAUCGAAUUAAUACUCCAUUUAGUUGUUGGCGGACCAAUGGGCCCACUUUAUAUGUAUACUGCAUCAGUCUUCACAUUUUUCUGAUAUA